rnacentral:rRNA from 1 species
AGUCGAGGGGCAGCAUGACCUAGCAAUAGGUUGAUGGCGACCGGCGCACGGGUGAGUAACACGUAUCCAACCUGCCGAUUAUUCCGGGAUAGCCUUUCGAAAGAAAGAUUAAUACUGGAUAGCAUAACGAGAAGGCAUCUUCUUGUUAUUAAAGAAUUUCGAUAAUCGAUGGGGAUGCGUUCCAUUAGUUUGUUGGCGGGGUAACGGCCCACCAAGACAUCGAUGGAUAGGGGUUCUGAGAGGAAGGUCCCCCACAUUGGAACUGAGACACGGUCCAAACUCCUACGGGAGGCAGCAGUGAGGAAUAUUGGUCAAUGGGCGAGAGCCUGAACCAGCCAAGUAGCGUGAAGGAUGACUGCCCUAUGGGUUGUAAACUUCUUUUAUAUGGGAAUAAAGUGAGCCACGUGUGGCUUUUUGUAUGUACCAUACGAAUAAGGAUCGGCUAACUCCGUGCCAGCAGCCGCGGUAAUACGGAGGAUCCGAGCGUUAUCCGGAUUUAUUGGGUUUAAAGGGAGCGUAGGCGGAUUAUUAAGUCAGUUGUGAAAGUUUGCGGCUCAACCGUAAAAUUGCAGUUGAUACUGGUAGUCUUGAGUGCAGCAGAGGUAGGCGGAAUUCGUGGUGUAGCGGUGAAAUGCUUAGAUAUCACGAAGAACUCCGAUUGCGAAGGCAGCUUACUGGACUGUAACUGACGCUGAUGCUCGAAAGUGUGGGUAUCAAACAGGAUUAGAUACCCUGGUAGUCCACACAGUAAACGAUGAAUACUCGCUGUUUGCGAUAUACGGCAAGCGGCCAAGCGAAAGCAUUAAGUAUUCCACCUGGGGAGUACGCCG